GACGUAGGGGGCCAGCGUUGUUCGGAAUUACUGGGUGUAAAGGGUUCGUAGGCGGCGUAGCAAGUCGGGAGUGAAAUCCCUCGGCUUAACCGAGGAACUGCCUGUCAAACUGCAUGGCUUGAGACCGGGAGAGGUGAGUGGAAUUCCCGGUGUAGCGGUGAAAUGCAUAGAUAUCGUCAAGAACACCUAUAGCGAAGGCAGCUUACUGGGCUGUAACUGACGCUGAGGCACGAAAGUGUGGGGAUCAAACAGG
rnacentral:rRNA from 1 species